rnacentral:rRNA from 1 species
CACGUAGGGCGCAAGCGUUUAUCCGGAAUUAUUGGGCGUAAAGAGCUCGUAGGCGGUUUGUCGCGUCUGCCGUGAAAGUCCGGGGCUCAACUCCGGAUCUGCGGUGGGUACGGGCAGACUAGAGUGAUGUAGGGGAGACUGGAAUUCCUGGUGUAGCGGUGAAAUGCGCAGAUAUCAGGAGGAACACCGAUGGCGAAGGCAGGUCUCUGGGCAUUAACUGACGCUGAGGAGCGAAAGCAUGGGGAGCGAACAGG